rnacentral:rRNA from 1 species
UACGUAGGGGGCAAGCGUUGUCCGGAAUUAUUGGGCGUAAAGAGCGCGUAGGCGGUCCGAUAAGUCGGCUGUGAAAGUCAGGGGCUCAACCCUUGAAAGCCGGCCGAUACUGUCGGACUAGAGUCCGGAAGAGGCAAGUGGAAUUCCCGGUGUAGCGGUGAAAUGCGCAGAUAUCUGGAGGAACACCGGUGGCGAAGGCGGCAUCCUGGACCGGUAUUGACGCUGAUGCGCGAAAGCCAGGGGAGCAAACGGG